UACGACGGGAGCUAGCGUUGUUCGGAAUCACUGGGCGUAAAGCGCACGUAGGCGGAUGUGUCAGUCAGGGGUGAAAUCCCGGAGCUCAACUUCGGAACUGCCCUUGAUACAGCACGUCUUGAGUCCGGAAGAGGUGGGUGGAAUUCCUAGUGUAGAGGUGAAAUUCGUAGAUAUUAGGAAGAACACCGGUGGCGAAGGCGGCCCACUGGUCCGGUACUGACGCUGAGGUGCGAAAGCGUGGGGAGCAAACAGG
rnacentral:rRNA from 1 species